rnacentral:rRNA from 1 species
UACAGAGGGGGCAAGCGUUGUUCGGAAUUACUGGGCGUAAAGGGCGCGUAGGCGGCCUGUUAAGUCGAACGUGAAAGCCCCGGGCUCAACCUGGGAAUGGCGAUGGAUACUGGCGGGCUAGAGUGCGGUAGAGGAGAGUGGAAUUCCCGGUGUAGCAGUGAAAUGCGUAGAGAUCGGGAGGAACAUCAGUUGCGAAGGCGGCUCUCUGGACCAGCACUGACACUGAGGCACGAAAGCGUGGGGAGCAAACAGG